AGCUUUGUGCAGUGGGCGUAUCAUAGCCAGAGAGGUUUAUCUGAGGUGUGCUUAUUGCUAAUUGAAAACUUUUCCCAUUGCCCUCCCGUGACGACUUGAAAGAUGUAAUAAUC
rnacentral:snRNA from 1 species